UCGAUUCCCUUAGUAGCGGCGAGCGAAACGGGAAGAGCCCAAACCAACAAGCUUGCUUGUUGGGGUUGUAGGACACUCUAUACGGAGUUACAAAGGACGACAUUAGACGAAUCAUCUGGAAAGAUGAAUCAAAGAAGGUAAUAAUCCUGUAGUCGAAAAUGUUGUCUCUCUUGAGUGGAUCCUGAGUACGACGGAGCACGUGAAAUUCCGUCGGAAUCUGGGAGGACCAUCUCCUAAGGCUAAAUACUCUCUAGUGACCGAUAGUGAACCAGUACCGUGAGGGAAAGGUGAAAAGCACCCCGGAAGGGGAGUGAAAUAGAACCUGAAACCGUGUGCUUACAAGUAGUCAGAGCCCGUUAAUGGGUGAUGGCGUGCCUUUUGUAGAAUGAACCGGCGAGUUACGAUUUGAUGCAAGGUUAAGCAGUAAAUGUGGAGCCGUAGCGAAAGCGAGUCUGAAUAGGGCGUUUAGUAUUUGGUCGUAGACCCGAAACCAGGUGAUCUACCCUUGGUCAGGUUGAAGUUCAGGUAACACUGAAUGGAGGACCGAACCGACUUACGUUGAAAAGUGAGCGGAUGAACUGAGGGUAGCGGAGAAAUUCCAAUCGAACCUGGAGAUAGCUGGUUCUCUCCGAAAUAGCUUUAGGGCUAGCCUCAAGUGAUGAUUAUUGGAGGUAGAGCACUGUUUGGACGAGGGGCCCCUCUCGGGUUACCGAAUUCAGACAAACUCCGAAUGCCAAUUAAUUUAACUUGGGAGUCAGAACAUGGGUGAUAAGGUCCGUGUUCGAAAGGGAAACAGCCCAGACCACCAGCUAAGGUCCCAAAAUAUAUGUUAAGUGGAAAAGGAUGUGGCGUUGCCCAGACAACUAGGAUGUUGGCUUAGAAGCAGCCAUCAUUUAAAGAGUGCGUAAUAGCUCACUAGUCGAGUGACACUGCGCCGAAAAUGUACCGGGGCUAAACAUAUUACCGAAGCUGUGGAUUGUCCUUUGGACAAUGGUAGGAGAGCGUUCUAAGGGCGUUGAAGCAUGAUCGUAAGGACAUGUGGAGCGCUUAGAAGUGAGAAUGCCGGUGUGAGUAGCGAAAGACGGGUGAGAAUCCCGUCCACCGAUUGACUAAGGUUUCCAGAGGAAGGCUCGUCCGCUCUGGGUUAGUCGGGUCCUAAGCUGAGGCCGACAGGCGUAGGCGAUGGAUAACAGGUUGAUAUUCCUGUACCACCUAUAAUCGUUUUAAUCGAUGGGGGGACGCAGUAGGAUAGGCGAAGCGUGCGAUUGGAUUGCACGUCUAAGCAGUAAGGCUGAGUAUUAGGCAAAUCCGGUACUCGUUAAGGCUGAGCUGUGAUGGGGAGAAGACAUUGUGUCUUCGAGUCGUUGAUUUCACACUGCCGAGAAAAGCCUCUAGAUAGAAAAUAGGUGCCCGUACCGCAAACCGACACAGGUAGUCAAGAUGAGAAUUCUAAGGUGAGCGAGCGAACUCUCGUUAAGGAACUCGGCAAAAUGACCCCGUAACUUCGGGAGAAGGGGUGCUCUUUAGGGUUAACGCCCAGAAGAGCCGCAGUGAAUAGGCCCAAGCGACUGUUUAUCAAAAACACAGGUCUCUGCUAAACCGUAAGGUGAUGUAUAGGGGCUGACGCCUGCCCGGUGCUGGAAGGUUAAGAGGAGUGGUUAGCUUCUGCGAAGCUACGAAUCGAAGCCCCAGUAAACGGCGGCCGUAACUAUAACGGUCCUAAGGUAGCGAAAUUCCUUGUCGGGUAAGUUCCGACCCGCACGAAAGGCGUAACGAUUUGGGCACUGUCUCAACGAGAGACUCGGUGAAAUCAUAGUACCUGUGAAGAUGCAGGUUACCCGCGACAGGACGGAAAGACCCCGUGGAGCUUUACUGUAGCCUGAUAUUGAAAUUCGGCACAGCUUGUACAGG
rnacentral:rRNA from 1 species